rnacentral:rRNA from 2 species
UUUAAUUGAAGAGUUUGAUCAUGGCUCAGAUUGAACGCUGGCGGCAGGCCUAACACAUGCAAGUCGAGCGGAAACGAC